rnacentral:lncRNA from 1 species
AUUUAGAAUGCUGCACAGAAAUUGCUUCACAGGGGAAACCGUCUCAGCGCUGUGCUAGCUCAGAACCCACGCACCUUAAAGGGAAGGAUCUGACAUCUCUGCUUCGCAUUUGAAGGUACUGGGUCGUCUCAAGAACACUGCAGGUUUAUAUGGUUUACUCCAUUCUGCUCUAUUUGGAUAGAUAACUCAAGAAAUUUCCUGCAGAGAAUCUUUUUGGGUUGUGCUUCCUUCCUCUGAAGACUCAUUUGAAGAUUUUGCACUUCCUUGAUUUAGAAAUCAUGAGCAGGGACAUUAACAGGAAAACAAUAGUAGAGCAUCCAAAAGAUUCAAACAGCAGGAAGAUAACUUUGCCAAAAAAUAGAUCUUGCCCAAAUAUAUGUGCAGCAACAAAUCUGGAAUUAAAUCCAAAAGGUAAAAUUCUUUCUGUACUGAAAAAGGAAGCAUUA